AGGUGAACUGCGGAAGGAUCAUUG
rnacentral:rRNA from 3 species